CUACGGGCGGCACCAGUGAGGAAUAUUGGUCAAUGGCCGAGAGGCUGAACCAGCCAUCCCGCGUGCAGGAUGACGGCCCUAUGGGUUGUAAACUGCUUUUCUACGCCAAGAAAUCUGAUUACGAGUAAUUAGUUGGCGGUAGCGUAGGAAUAAGCAUCGGCUAACUCCGUGCCAGCAGCCGCGGUAAUACGGAGGAUGCAAGCGUUAUCCGGAUUCAUUGGGUUUAAAGGGUGCGCAGGCGGGCUUGUAAGUCAGUGGUGAAAUACUGCCGCUUAACGGUAGAACUGCCAUUGAUACUGCAAGUCUUGAAUAUGGUUGAGGUAGGCGGAAUGUGUUGUGUAGCGGUGAAAUGCAUAGAUAUGACACAGAACGCCGAUUGCGAAGGCAGCUUACUAAGCCAUUAUUGACGCUGAGGCACGAAAGCGUGGGGAGCGAACAGGAUUAGAUACCCCCGUAGUC
rnacentral:rRNA from 1 species